rnacentral:rRNA from 1 species
UGCUGAUUUGCUGACGAGUGGCGGACGGGUGAGUAAUGUCUGGGAAACUGCCUGAUGGAGGGGGAUAACUACUGGAAACGGUAGCUAAUACCGCAUAACGUCGCAAGACCAAAGAGGGGGACCUUCGGGCCUCUUGCCAUCGGAUGUGCCCAGAUGGGAUUAGCUAGUAGGUGGGGUAACGGCUCACCUAGGCGACGAUCCCUAGCUGGUCUGAGAGGAUGACCAGCCACACUGGAACUGAGACACGGUCCAGACUCCUACGGGAGGCAGCAGUGGGGAAUAUUGCACAAUGGGCGCAAGCCUGAUGCAGCCAUGCCGCGUGUAUGAAGAAGGCCUUCGGGUUGUAAAGUACUUUCAGCGGGGAGGAAGGGAGUAAAGUUAAUACCUUUGCUCAUUGACGUUACCCGCAGAAGAAGCACCGGCUAACUCCGUGCCAGCAGCCGCGGUAAUACGGAGGGUGCAAGCGUUAAUCGGAAUUACUGGGCGUAAAGCGCACGCAGGCGGUUUGUUAAGUCAGAUGUGAAAUCCCCGGGCUCAACCUGGGAACUGCAUCUGAUACUGGCAAGCUUGAGUCUCGUAGAGGGGGGUAGAAUUCCAGGUGUAGCGGUGAAAUGCGUAGAGAUCUGGAGGAAUACCGGUGGCGAAGGCGGCCCCCUGGACGAAGACUGACGCUCAGGUGCGAAAGCGUGAGGAGCAAACAGGAUUAGAUACCCUGGUAGUCCACGCCGUAAACGAUGUCGA